rnacentral:rRNA from 1 species
AGCGAACGCUGGCGGCAGGCCUAACACAUGCAAGUCGAACGAACCUUUCGGGGUUAGUGGCGGACGGGUGAGUAACACGUGGGAACGUGCCUUUAGGUUCGGAAUAACUCAGGGAAACUUGUGCUAAUACCGAAUGUGCCCUUCGGGGGAAAGAUUUAUCUCCUUUAGAGCGGCCCGCGUCUGAUUAGCUAGUUGGUUGAGGUAAUGGCUCACCAAGGCGACGAUCAGUAGCUGGUCUGAGAGGAUGAUCAGCCACAUUGGGACUGAGACACGGCCCAAACUCCUACGGGAGGCAGCAGUGGGGAAUCUUGCGCAAUGGGCGAAAGCCUGACGCAGCCAUGCCGCGUGAAUGAUGAAGGUCUUAGGAUUGUAAAAUUCUUUCACCGGGGACGAUAAUGACGGUACCCGGAGAAGAAGCCCCGGCUAACUUCGUG